rnacentral:lncRNA from 10 species
GACGCUCAAGAGAGCAAGAUGUUCUCGUGUUGCUUCUCCACUUUGAGAGGUUGCUGCUUCAGGAACGGAGGGAGUGAGAGCCUUUUCUGACGAUGCCGAAGAAGGCUCAUCCCUCACCCCAGACGCCUGUCGCCCGUUGUAAUAAGGCGCAUCCAGGUACCACAGGACAGCCUGGGGCAGGCCCUAGCAGGCCAGGCCACACCAGAGAUCCCAUUGGGGCUGCAGCUGCACACUGUCCUUGUCCAGGAGAUUCAGGAGCUCAUUGAGGCACAGACACGUGCUCCUGGUCCAUGUGCAGAAGUAAGAGCACUGCCAGCACCAGCGGCGGAGCCAGAGCCAGCAUGGGAAGAGGCCCCUCCAGAGAGAGCACUGGAGCUGGAGGGAGCUCCAGCCAAGGACCAGACCAAUGAGGAGCUGCCUGAAAUCACGGAGGUGCCGGAGAGCAUUAAAAGAAGGCUGGGAGGAAGAGUUCCAGCAGCUACGCCUGCUCCCAGAGGCAACCUCCUCCUCCAGGCAUGGAUGCGGGUCCACAGCUGGGCAUCCAGGCUGUUUGCCCCUAAUGUGCUGCCCGGGACAGGCCCUUAACAGGCGGGCAGUGGGUGAGGGGACCAGGAGGUGGCUCCAAAGGGUAAAGCAAACAAAGCUUUUAACGACAGCCGUUGUGCCCCAGGCUCUCCAUGCCACCACCUGCCCUACCAUUUAUUAAUAGUGUUAGAAUUACAAGUUGAUGAAACGAGAUUACAAUAAAGUUUGAUUUCUGAAACUUCA